rnacentral:tRNA from 1 species
GCGACACUAGCUCAGUUUGGUAGAGCGCAACCUUGCCAAGGUUGAGGUCACGAGUUCGAACCUCGUGUGUCGCU